CCUUGUUACAUUCAUUGACAGGCAGCUUUGCGUGGCUGCUGUUGCUUGGGUGCUGUGUCUCUGGGAUUCCCCGGCUUCAAGGUAUAAAGGCACUGAGUGUGUCUCAACAACACAGGAGAAGCCAUCGAGCAGCGCGCUUCACAUUGCCGCCCGUCCGACACAACUGAAAUAGUCCAGACCCCACAGGCAGAAUGAAAGUUCGCCUGGGCUCCGCAGCAAAGCACCCUGGCCGCCCACGGCCCACUCCCUGCAAGGAUCCGAAGGCUGUCAAGGAAUGUGCAUUGGAGCUGAGGAAUAUUGGAGAUGUGUUUAACUUCCUCCAGCUCAUGUUGAACACGUUCAAAGUGUUUCAACAGUCUACCUGAGCAGCCGUGCCGAGGCACAUCGAAAUUAACCCAAGGUUACAACACCAAAAAUGGUUUAAAAAAACGUGGUCUCAGCUUUCUUUACCGGCUUUCUAGACCGAGAUUGGCUCACUCAAAUAGGAUUCGUUUGGUCUUUGGAAGAAGUCAAGUCCGGACAUGUGCGGAUGGCACAGCUUGUCAAGAACGCAUAUGGUUGUCAAAUGGGGAAGGGUUAAAAAAUAAUUGAGAGGAACUUGUUUCAUGAGAUGAAUGAUCAACCUACUGGAGGAUUAGACUGAAUACUACACGCUAGAGAGCAAAAGGUGCGAAACAUUGUAAAACGAAGGUUUAUGUUGUAUCACACGUUUGUAAAAUUGCAAUGGCUGAAUGUUAAAUUGUAAAGUCGACCAUAACAACACCUUUCUUGAGCCCAGUGGACAAAGAUGAGAUUUUUGCUUGUGGGGGAAAAAAUUUGAAGUAAAACAGUUAACACUUUAUCUGGCAAAUCUGUUGUGGAUUUCGAGAAUUUACGUUUCAUCUGAGAUAUUUUAUACUCAUUGAAUAAGAUGUUUGAAUUUAAAUUAGUAUUGCGCUGUAUUGAUACUAAUGUGAAAUGUUGGUUUAAUGAGUCAGAUAACUAUUUUGACUUUGUAUGAACUAAAAGUAGCUAUUCACGAGGAAACGUAUACUGUAAGCAAACUUUUAAAUGUACAAAGUAUCGCCAGUAAAAACACUUUUUAAUAUUU